rnacentral:rRNA from 1 species
AUUGAACGCUGGCGGCAUGCCUUACACAUGCAAGUCGAACGGUAACAGGUUAAGCUGACGAGUGGCGAACGGGUGAGUAAUGUAUCGGAACGUGCCCAGUCGUGGGGGAUAACUACUCGAAAGAGGGGCUAAUACCGCAUACGACCUGAGGGUGAAAGCGGGGGACCGUAAGGCCUCGCGCGCUUGGAGCGGCCGAUAUCAGAUUAGCUAGUUGGUGGGGUAAGAGCCCACCAAGGCGACGAACUGUAGCUGGUCUGAGAGGACGACCAACCACACUGGGACUGAGACACGGCCCAGACUCCUACGGGAGGCAGCAGUGGGGAAUUUUGGACAAUGGACGCAAGUCUGAUCCAGCCAUGCCGCGUGCGGGAAGAGGCCUUCGGGUUGUAAACCGCUUUUGUCAGGGAAGAAGCGAGUUUCUCUAAUACAGAGACUUAAUGACGGUACCUGAAGAAUAAGCACCGGCUAACUACGUGCCAGCAGCCGCGGUAAUAC